GCCCUGGUAGCUCAGUGGUAGACGGUGAGCCCUGUAUAUGUAUGGUGAGCGAAAGCGCUUAGUAAUAACUGUCAUGAGGUCGCAGGUUCGAAUCCUGCCCGGUGGCU